GGAAGGAGAAGGGCCCAAGGGCGAGGGCGGGGGACGUAAAAAUAAAAGAAAAAGGAACAGUGAAGGCUUGCUGCCUCCUCGGAGCCCCUAAAAAUCUGGCCCAGCGACUUUUCAGCUCUGGGCUUGAACCUGGUUUGGGCCACGGUGACAGCAGAGUGACCUCAAAGCGCAGGCACAACCACUGGAGACAGCCAGUGCAACAAGACAAGCCGCUGGACCCGACCAGACUCUCAGCUUUGUGAGACUAUCAGGAAAAAAAAAUUACGUAGGAGGGGGAAAUAUGCUCUUUUUUCGGUUCUGUCCGUCUUUGUCUCCUUUUUGCACCGUCUGUGCGCCGAAGUCAAGGUCCUCGUGUGUCUGCUGUCCUCUCCAAAAAGUCACCAGAUCUGAGCCACACUGGUCUGCCGGCAGCCCAUCACGAACCCUGGAACGCUUUUUUUCUGAAUGGUCUUCUUCCGGGCCCUGCUUCACCAUCUGUGUAGCUUGUUUGGGCAAUGGGGGGAAUCGGAGGGAGGGGGGUUAAUUUAUUGAAAAACAGACGCUGAGUGUUGGCCAAUUCCAAGUUCUCUGAGACAUGGAGUGGGCACUGUCCAAACACACUAUUUACCUUAAACACACCAGAAGAGGGAACAAGGAUGGGAUGGUGGCUUUUUAAGGUACCUGGUAACUUUUGUACUUUGUUGGAAUGGAGAAGUGGAGGCAGAGUGAUUUGCAUUUUACACGACCCACAUGAUUAAAAAAUAACAAAAGAAAUAGUGAA
rnacentral:lncRNA from 1 species